UACUGAGUGGCAGACGGGUGAGUAACAUGUGGGAAUCUGCCUUGUGGUUCAGGACAACAUUGGGAAACCGAUGCUAAUACUGGAUAAGCCCUUACGGGGAAAGUUUUAAUGCCAUAAGAUGAGCCCGCAUUUGAUUAGUUAGUUGGUGAGGUAAUGGCUCACCAAGACAAUGAUCAAUAGCUGAUCUGAGAGGAUGAUCAGCCACACUGGGACUGAGACACGGCCCAGACUCCUACGGGAGGCAGCAGUGGGGAAUCUUGCACAAUGGAGGAAACUCUGAUGCAGCGAUGCCGCGUGAGUGAAGAAGGCCUUUGGGUUGUAAAGCUCUUUUGUAGGGGAAGAUAAUGACUGUACCCUAAGAAUAAGGUCCGGCUAACUUCGUACCAGCAGCCGCGGUAAUACGAAGGGACCUAGCGUAGUUCGGAAUUACUGGGCGUAAAGCGCGCGUAGGCCGUUGAGUUAGUUAAUUGUGAAAUCC
rnacentral:rRNA from 1 species